rnacentral:rRNA from 1 species
GUCUACGGCCAUGCUACCCUGAACAAGCCCGAUUCCAUCUGAUCUUGGAAGCUAAGCAGGGUUGGGCCUGGUUAGUACUUGGAUGGGAGACCACCUAGGAAGAUCAGGUGCUAUAGGCA